ACUGAAACCAGCGACAGCGACA
rnacentral:misc_RNA from 1 species